AGUGAACGCUGGCGGCGUGCCUAACACAUGCAAGUCGAACGAGAACGGGUUAUAGCUUGCUAUAAUUGUCAGCUAAGUGGCGCACGGGUGAGUAAUGUAUAGGUAAUAUGCCUCUUACUAAGGGAUAACAAAUGGAAACGUUUGCUAAUACCUUAUACUCCUUAUUAACAGAAGUUAAUAAGGGAAAGAUUUAUUGGUAAGAGAUUAGCCUGUAUUGUAUCAGCUAGUUGGUGGGGUAAUGGCUUACCAAGACUAUGACACAUAACUGGUUUGAGAGGAUGAUCAGUCACACUGGAACUGAGACACGGUCCAGACUCCUACGGGAGGCAGCAGUGGGGAAUAUUGCACAAUGGACGAAAGUCUGAUGCAGCAACGCCGCGUGGAGGAUGACACAUUUCGGUGCGUAAACUCCUUUUAUAUGAGAAGAUAAUGACGGUAUUAUAUGAAUAAGCACCGGCUAACUCCGUGCCAGCAGCCGCCGUAA
rnacentral:rRNA from 1 species